rnacentral:rRNA from 1 species
UACGUAGGGUGCGAGCGUUGCCCGGAUUUAUUGGGCGUAAAGGGCGCGUAGGCGGCUACGCACGUCCGUUGUGAAAUCGCCCGGCUCAACUGGGCGGGGUCGGCGGAUACGGCGUAGCUCGAGCAAGCUAGGGGGCAAUGGAAUUCCCGGUGUAGUGGUGAAAUGCGCAGAGAUCGGGAGGAACACCCGUAGCGAAGGCGGCACUCUGGGCCGGUACUGACGCUGAGGAGCGAAAGCGUGGGGAGCAAACAGG